GGGUCAGCAGGUUGGUCGUGCCACUGGUAUGUACUGGCCUUGCUGAUUCCUCCCUCUUGAUGAGCCGUAAUGCCAUUAAUUUGGUGUUGCGGGGAAUCAGGACUGUUACUUUGAAAAAAUUAGAGUGUUUAAAACAGGCGUUUGCUUGAAUACAUUAGCAUGGAAUAACGGAAUAGGACU
rnacentral:rRNA from 1 species